rnacentral:lncRNA from 1 species
AUGGAACCCUGCGCAGACGGUUCCAUACUUCACGCUUUCACAACACAACUGUUCAAUGCUAAGGCUUCUCCGCCUGCGCAGGGUUCCAUACUUGGCACUUUAACAACACAACCAUUCAAUGCUAAGGCUUCUCUGUCUGCGCAGGGUUCCAUACUUUGCACUUUAACAACACAACCGUUCAAUGCUAAGGCUUCCCCAUCUGCGCAGGGUUCCAUACUUCACACUUUAACAACACAACCGUUCAAUGCUAAGGCUUCCCCGUCUGCGCAGGGUUCCAUACUUCGCACUUUAACAACACAACCGUUCAAUGUUAAGGCUUCCCCGUCUGCGCAGGGUUCCAUACUUCGCCCUUUAACAACACAACCAUUCAAUGCAAAGGCUUCUCUGUCUGCGCAGGGUUCCAUACUUCGCACUUUAACAACACAACCGUUCAAUGCUAAGGCUUCUCUGUCUGCACAGGGUUCCAUACUUCGCCCUUUAACAACACAACCAUUCAAUGCUAAGGCUUCCCCGUCUGCGCAGGGUUCCAUACUUCGCCCUUUAACAACACAACCAUUCAAUGCUAAGGCUUCCCCGUCUGCGCAGGGUUCCAUACUUCGCCCUUUAACAACACAACCAUUCAAUGCUAAGGCUUCCCCGUCUGCGCAGGGUUCCAUACUUCGCCCUUUAACAACACAACCGUUCAAUGCUAAGGCUUCCCCGUCUGCGCAGGGUUCCAUACUUCACACUUUAACAACACAAACGUUCAAUGCUAAGGCUUCCCCGUCUGCGCAGGGUUCCAUACUUCGCACUUUAACAACACAACCGUUCAAUGCUAAGGCUUCCCCGUCUGCGCAGGGUUCCAUACUUCACACUUUAACAACACAAACGUUCAAUGCUAAGGCUUCCCCGUCUGCGCAGGGUUCCAUACUUCGCACUUUAACAACACAACCGUUCAAUGCUAAGGCUUCCCCGUCUGCGCAGGGUUCCAUACUUCGCACUUUAACAACACAACCGUUCAAUGCUAAGGCUUCCCCGUCUGCGCAGGGUUCCAUACUUCGCACUUUAACAACACAACCGUUCAAUGCUAAGGCUUCCCCGUCUGCGCAGGGUUCCAUACUUUCACACUUUAACAACACAAACGUUCAAUGCUAA